rfam:Deltaproteobacteria bacterium GWA2_65_63 gwa2_scaffold_411, whole genome shotgun sequence.
GUGACCUUUUAAGCUAAUCCCGUGAGGUUAGCAAAGGAUGACGACCCGCCGAUUCCGACCGUGCCUCUCCGUAGCAAUGGAGAGGCAUUUUUUUU